rnacentral:tRNA from 1 species
GCCUGGGUGGCUCAGUCCGUUAAGCACCUGACUUGAGCUCAGGUCACGAUCUUGCAGUUCACAAGUUAGAGCCCUGUGUCAGGCU